UCCGGCUUAUCACCGGCAGUCCCUCUAGAGUGCCCAACUGAAUGAUGGCAACUAGAAGCGAGGGUUGCGCUCGUUGCGGGACUUAACCCAACGUCUCACGACACGAGCUGACGACAGCCAUGCAGCACCUGUGUUCCAGCCAGCCGAACUGAAGAGCUCCAUCUCUGGCGCCCAUACUGGACAUGUCAAGGGUAGGUAAGGUUCUGCGCGUUGCUUCGAAUUGAACCACAUGCUCCACCGCUUGUGCGGGCCCCCGUCGUUAGUUACAAGUGUCUAAUGAGACUGCCGAGAUAAACUCGGAGGAAGGUGGGGAUGACGUAACUGUACCAUAGA
rnacentral:misc_RNA from 1 species